GCCUGGGUGGCUCAGUGGGUUAAGCGUCCGAUUUCGGCUCGGGUCAUAAUCUCGCGAUUUGUGGGUUUGAGCCCCGCAUCAGGCU
rnacentral:tRNA from 1 species